CCCAGCAGGGUGGACAGGCCAGGGAUGACCCGGGCCACAGUGUGAGGGCAAGCCCCCAGCCCCGCCUCCACCCCGAGGAUCCUCCUGUCCACAAAAAAGUAAUCAACAGGCAUUCUAAGAAAAGAGAAUUUUAGUGGCGCCAACCUGAGGAUUAUAAGCCGGGAGACAGUCUUUCAGAAAACUCUGAGGACUCUUCCACCCGCUAAAGGUCAAGGCAAGGUUACAUGUUUCUGAGACAAAGGGUUAUACGCCAGAUGGUGUAUUAUUGACAGUUUACACAAUCCAGAUCUACAUGUACAAAACGAGUAGUGGGUCAUGGUGUUACAGCAGGCAGGUAGCUAGAUACGAGCAGGGGAAGGGGGGCACGGGCCAGAUGGCAGGAAACCAUACAUCUUGUAAACAACGGUGGCCCUUCGACAGACAGAGAAAAGCAGGAACCUCUGGACUGACAGGAAACCACACAUUUUGGGAUGGCAAGUGCCCUGGAGACAGACAAAGAAAGAUGAGAAGAGGCUGGAAUCUCCAGAGUCCAAAAGUAACCUUUUGCUCAUUAUACUCUGAUUACAAUAAAAUUAGCCUCCCAGAUAAGAAAUACCCAUCGGGCACCGAAGCCAUGACACUCAUGAUCAAGGCUAAAUAAAGAAAAAAUGCCUCCGCCUCUUGGGAAGGUGGAGCUGGGAAGAAAAUCAGGGAAUACGACCCCAAACCCCUCCCUCCCCAAUGAAUAUUCCGCCCCUUCACUUCUGCACCCCACGUGAGCAGCUUGCCAAAGAAACUCCGCACAGCUACUCACGUGAGUCUGCCCGCUGUCGCACUGAGAGCGCGCUGUCGCUUCAUUAACUGCACGAUUGAGUAUAUGACAUAUUUGGGAACCAUUGACCAAAACUGCCCGCCUUGGCCAGGCAUGAUAAUAACCACUUUCACACAAAAGGAGGUCCCAAUAAGGAACACGAUGCUGCCGCAGAAAACUAACCAGGAGAAUUUGGGAGGGGCCAAAAGGAGAGGAGACGCCAGCCCAUAAUACAUCCUGCCAACCUCCCAGAAACCCUCCGACUGGAAUCCAUCUUAACUCAGAGAUGCACGCACCACCAGGAAGCACCCUGAGUCAGACCAAAUAUGGGCACAAGUAGGAUAAUUGGCCAGAGACAACCCAGAAAGUAACCCCAUCACCAUAAAACCCGAGACUGCGAGCCACGUGGCAGACCAGUCCUCCUGGGGCCCCUUACCAUCCUGCUCUCCGCCCGGCGCCCCUUCCCAAUAAAGUCUCUUGCUCUGUCAGCA